rnacentral:rRNA from 1 species
AACGAACGCUGGCGGCAUGCCUAACACAUGCAAGUCGAACGAGACCUUCGGGUCUAGUGGCGCACGGGUGCGUAACGCGUGGGAACCUGCCCUUAGGUUCGGAAUAACUCCCCGAAAGGGGUGCUAAUACCGGAUAAUGUCUUCGGACCAAAGAUUUAUCGCCUUUGGAUGGGCCCGCGUUGGAUUAGCUAGUUGGUAGGGUAAAAGCCUACCAAGGCGACGAUCCAUAGCUGGUCUGAGAGGAUGAUCAGCCACACUGGGACUGAGACACGGCCCAGACUCCUCCGGGAGGCAGUAGUGGGGAAUAUUGGACAAUGGGCGAAAGCCUGAUCCAGCAAUGCCGCGUGAGUGAUGAAGGCCUUAGGGUUGUAAAGCUCUUUUACCCGGGAUGAUAAUGACAGUACCGGGAGAAUAAGCUCCGGCUAACUCCGUG